UGAUCCUGAGUAGGAAGAAUGAUGAAGACGUCCAUUGGAGCUUUGUUCAUGUUCUUGUGGCUGCAGCUGGACCGGGUCAGCCAUGGAGAGAAAGUGGAUCAGCAUCCUUCUACCCUGAAUGUCCAGGAGGGAAACACCGCUGUUAUCAACUGUUCUUAUUCAGACAGUGUCUCAAACUACUUCCCUUGGUAUAAACAAGAACCUGGAAAAGGUCCCCAAUUCAUUAUAGACAUUCGUUCAAAUAAGGACAAAAUCCAAGCUGGAAGACUCACUGUUUUCUUGAAUAAGGCAGCCAAACAUCUAUCCCUGCACAUCGCAGCCACCCAACCUGGAGACUCAGCCGUCUACUUCUGUGCCGCGAGUACACAUUGCUUCCCAGGCACCUGCAUCCUGUACACAAACCUGUGAGUGGGGCAGCCCCCUCUGCCUGGGACAGACCUGCAAGCAUAGCAUUUGUGAAAUUGU